CCUCCAGAAGCUGUUUGGAAGCAGCCCAGGAUUGCUAAUAUUCAAAAUGCACAAAACUGAUACAGCAGUGGAUGUAAUUUUAAAGACCAAGGAGGAGAAAGAUGCAGAACUAGAUAAAAAGAUAGAAGCUUUACGGAAAAAGAAUGAAGCACUUGUGAAAAGAUAUCAGGAAAUUGAAGAAGACAAGAAAAAGGCAGAACUGGAGGGAAUGGCUGUUACCACUCGAAAGAACAGACCUGAAAAUCUCACCAUCACUAUUACGAAAGCCCCGAAUGAAAAGAGGGUGGUCAGUGAGAAACGGACAUUUGGACCAACAAGCAGUCUUAGAGGGAGUGAAGCAGAUGCAGGUCAAAGAUUUUCUGUAGGAAGAGGACAAAGACUUCGUAAAUUUGUUGUGGAGGAGAGCAAAGCAAAGGAAUGGGAGGAAAGGAGAAAGCAAAACAUAGAAAAGAUGAAUGAAGAAAUGGAGAAAAUAGCUGAAUAUGAACGUAGCCAACUGGAAGGAAAAGUUGACAAGAACCCAGUUAGAAAUUUCUUGGAUGACCGUCGGCGUUCAGGUCCCUUACCAGAGGGGGAUAAGCGAGUGGGCAGUCGGCGUAAUGUUCGCAACUGGGGUGGCCCGGACUUUGAGAUGGUAAAGUCUGGUAUAGAAAAGAAACGUUGGGAAAAAGGGUGUCCGGAGGGUGGACUGCCAGCUCAGAAAGGCACGGUGGACAUGACUUUAUUGAUGACUGGCCGGGAGAGAGCAGAGUAUGUCCGCUGGAAGAAGGAACGGGAACAGAUAGAUCAAGAGAGGCUAGCACGUCACAAAAACUCCAAAGGAGAAUGGAAAAGAGCUUGGGAUGCAAACAAAACUGAAGACAUGUUUCGAGAAGAUUUUGCUGUGGAAAAUGAGCUUGGUUUUCAUAAAAGAAAAGGUGGAAGAAAUGCAAGGAAAAGCAGUGGACGAUUUCAGCAUCAUGACACACGAGAUGAUGGAAAUCAUGCCGACAAGACCAAAGAAUUGUUUCCGUGGUCUGAAGCAACAGAUAGCAGUAAAUCAAAGGGCAAAGAUAGAUUGACUGGAAGAGCCAGAAGCUUUAAAUUGGAUAUAAAAGAGAAGAAUGAAAUACAAAGAGACACUAGAGGACAAUGGGUGGAGACAGUCACAGAAGAACAUAAGAAGCAAAAAGUAAAUGAAGAUGCUGAGUUGAGGAAGAAUGUUGACUUAGAUGUGGUCAUGUUUGAUUGGCAGGAGGCUGAAGAAGGCACUGACUGGAUGAAUGGAGAGUGGGAAACUAUCGAGAUGCGUGACUCCCAAAAAAGCUCCAUCAAUCGCAAAGUUGUUCGUAGAGCUCCGAUGGAUACUGAAGGAACUGUGAACAAGCCAAAACCUUGCAGUAGUAAGUUGGGUAAUCUAUCAUUGGCCGAGGAGUUGGUACACAUCAGGCCUAUAUUGCACCAUAAUGUUUCAGGCAAAAGCAAUUCUGAUUUCCCUUCAGAAAAUGGAAUUUCAGUUCAUACUAUUCUGACAAAGAAUGACAUGCAGGAUCUUGAAGAUACAGGAAAUGUGUUAAAAUAUUGUUCCCCCUCAGACUCUAGUAAAAAGUCAGCAUCGGUUGCCUUUGAUGAGAUAUCAAACCAACUUAGUACUAUAGAGGAUCAUUUACCAUUAAAAGACAGAAAUCAACUUGGACUUGAAUUGGCUGGUUGUCCUAACUCUCUGGAUGGUAAUGCUGCAGUUCUGGAGAAAAAUGUAUUAAUUGCUGUUUGCGACGAAGAAAAGAAAUGUUCUUCAGCUAUUUGUAUUACAACCAAAGGUUUGGCAAUGAGUGUGAAAUUGCAAGAUCAGUCUGCACAGGAAAUUGCUGGGAAAUUGCAGCCAGCUGUGAUAACAGAUCAUGCAGUAACUUUGCAGGAUGACCAAGGUAACAGUUUCCCUACUUCCAGAGUUGGAAUUGUUUCUUCUGAGCAUCAACCAGGGAAGUAUCAAGAGGAACUGUCAAAAGGAAAUGUAAGAACUGACAUUGAUUGUGAGGAAAUUAAAGGGACGCCUGAUGAUUCAGCAAGCUCAAAGGUUUCACCUGAUGCUGCCAUUCUAGACAUUACCAAUACUAUUAAUGGGAUGAUGAUUGAAGGAAAAUGAAGUAACUGCCAUACCGAUGGUUGGAUCAGAAGUGAAGCCCCUACAUGAGAGAAGUUACUCUUGCCAUUAAGAAGAUGAAGAACAGAAGCUGAGCACUGAACACAGACAGGGAGAAAGGAAAAAGAAUAAAAAGUUCCCUCCUCAGAUGUCUCCCUUCCAGAUGUCUUAGGCGAGGUCUGGAUACAGAUUAUUUGCUCAUUUACAGAACUUGUCCUGUGACGGAGAGAAGUUUGAAACAAGAAUUAUUUAAAUGAAAACAUUCAUUAUUGGGUUGAGUAUUUCUGUAUGAAAAUUGGUGAAACUGUCACUGACUUCUGCCUCAAGUUGUUUCAUUGAGGAUUUAUAAAGUGUAAGUAUUGGGAAAGAGAUAUUGCUAUCGAUAAUCUAUCCAAUCUUCCAUUUUAAUACAUUAUUCAUCUUGUAAAAUGUGUGUAUUUUCCUGACAUUAGGUCUGCUUUAAUAAAUGUAACUCUUUUGAGUUUGUGAAAUAGUUAAUACCAUGAAACAUUUUUGCAAAGACGACGUGAGUGAAAUGGGUGUGUGUCAGGGUCAGUUCUGGGUGUGUUUGAGGAGCUGACCCCUCAACAAACAACCUAAUAGCCCUGAAAUUCUGAUUUGGGUUGGAAACCCUAUUUCAAACAAAAAUGCACAUAGUUACGU